CUUGUCACAGAGUCAGUCAGGUGUGCUCCUGCCUUGAAUGUACUCACAGGUGCACAUUUCUGAAGAGGAUGUAUAAUCUUGCCUUGAAGACUCCAAAGGGUUGAGGAAAGGAAGUUCCAAAAACACUAAGAGUUGUUUGUUUGUCUUGGACACUGAUUAGUGUUGACUUGUUGAAAAGGAGAACUGCUGUUUCAGGUGCUGCACAAGCCAACAACCCAGAGUAUUAUAUAGGUUGUGACCUAUCUUGCUUCGUUGUCUGGCCUUAUGAUGGUUUCUGACAGGAUAAGGAAGAGCUGACCUGCAACUACAAAUGGGCAGAGAUUGAGAAGCUGAGGAUA
rnacentral:lncRNA from 1 species